GAGCGCCCCGCAAGGGGAGCGGCAGACGGGAGAGUACACGUGGGAACGUACCCUUCAGUUCGGAACAACCCAGGGAAACUUGGGCUAAUACCGAAUACGUCCGUAAGGAGAAAGAUUUAUCGCUGAAGGAUCGGCCCGCGUCUGAUUAGCUUGUUGGUGAGGUAACGGCUCACCAAGGCUACGAUCAGUAGCUGGUCUGAGAGGAUGAUCAGCCUCACUGGGACUGAGACACGGCCCAGACUCCUACGGGAGGCAGCAGUGGGGAAUAUUGGACAAUGGGCGCAAGCCUGAUCCAGCCAUGCCGCGUGGGUGAUGAAGGCCCUAGGGUUGUAAAGCCCUUUCGGCGGGGAAGAUAAUGACGGUACCCGCAGAAGAAGCCCCGGCUAACUUCGUGCCAGCAGCCGCGGUA
rnacentral:rRNA from 1 species